CGGCCUAUACAUGCAAGUCGAGCGGCAAGUUGAGUAGUAAUACUUAGCCUAGAGCGGCGCACGGGUGCGUAACGCGUAUGCAACCUACCUUUUACUGGGGGAUAGCCCGGAGAAAUCUGGAUUAAUACCCCAUGGUAUCUAUGAAUCGAUUGGUUUAUAGUUUAAAGAUUUAUCGGUAAGAGAUGGGCAUGCGUCUGAUUAGCUAGUUGGCGGGGUAACGGCCCACCAAGGCGACGAUCAGUAGGGGUUCUGAGAGGAAGGUCCCCCACACUGGCACUGAGAUACGGGCCAGACUCCUACGGGAGGCAGCAGUAGGGAAUAUUGGGCAAUGGUCGCAAGACUGACCCAGCCAUGCCGCGUGCAGGAAGACGGCCCUCUGGGUUGUAAACUGCUUUUAUCUGGGAAGAAAAAGUCCAUGCGUGGAAAAUUGCCGGUACCAGAUGAAUAAGCACCGGCUAACUCCGUGCCAGCAGCCGCGGUAAUACGGAGGGUGCAAGCGUUGUCCGGAUUUAUUGGGUUUAAAGGGUGCGUAGGCGGCUGAAUAAGUCAGCGGUGAAAGACUUCGGCUUAACCGGAGCAGUGCCGUUGAUACUGUUUAGCUUGAGUGUUGGAGGGGUACAUGGAAUUGAUGGUGUAGCGGUGAAAUGCAUAGAUACCAUCAGGAACACCGAUAGCGAAGGCAUUGUACUGGCCAACAACUGACGCUGAGGCACGAAAGUGUGGGGAUCGAACAGGAUUAGAUACCCUGGUAGUCCACACCGUANACGAUGAUUACUCGCUGUUAUGGUGUAUGCUGUAGCGGCCAAGCGAAAGCGUUAAGUAAUCCACCUGGGGAGUACGCCGGCAACGGUGAAACUCAAAGGAAUUGACGGGGGUCCGCACAAGCGGUGGAGCAUGUGGUUUAAUUCGAUGA
rnacentral:rRNA from 1 species